GCCAGCAGCUCCAGUGAAGCCGACGCCAGGGUUGAUCCCGAGACUGCAGAGCGUGCCGAGCAGAGCAACGCCGAGGAGGCACGUAUCAGCCGGGCAUGCAUC
rnacentral:lncRNA from 1 species